CGCACAAGUUGAAGGGGAUAAUUUAAUUCUAAGGAGAAGAUAAAUUCAAAUUGCUCAAUUAGUGCACGCCUGCGAGUUUCGACCCAUUAAUUCAGUGGCAUCCCGUUAUCCGAUCGCGCAUCGAAGAUGACACUCGCGAAACAAUCUCGGUACUCGCGAUGGCUAUCUCGUUCACGAAGAUGCGAUCGCCGGCAUCGAAACCUCGAGUGCGCGUCAUCACGAUAAGAUCGCGCGCGGUGUGACGCAUGAUUGGCUAUUAAGCGAUCGGCGACAUAAAAUUUUAUUACCGUCAUCCUCGUCGCAGCCGAGGUGCGAACAUGUGAUCGUCAUGAUUUUCGAUCACGCGAUAAAGACAACUAGUUUGACUAAUUUCGAGAUCAACUGGUUCUUACACUCGUAUAGAGUACACUGCAACAAUAUACAUUUUACAGCAAAAAAAUUAAAUUAAUAAAAAAGUACUCCUUCUCUA